rnacentral:rRNA from 1 species
UAUCCCCCUGUGUGCCUUGAGCACUGGGUGGCGCAGCUAACGCAUUAAGUUGACCGCCUGGGGAGUACGGCCGCAAGGUUAAAACUCAAAUGAAUUGACGGGGGCCCGCACAAGCGGUGGAGCAUGUGGUUUAAUUCGAUGCAACGCGAAGAACCUUACCUACUCUAGACAUCCACAGAACUUUUCAGAGAUGAAUUGGUGCCUUCGGGAACUGUGAGACAGGUGCUGCAUGGCU